CGACAGAAGAAGAGGAAUAAGAGGAGUCUGCCUCUCAGCACCGUCUCAGAUCAGGGAUGUUAGGGGACUUCCUUCCCUCACGCCCUUCCACAGUAUUAUCUCUGUAGGAUUAAGGAUGGAUGUGACAUCACA